GCUGUGUGAAUGUAGAGCACAUACGCAGCGUUGCCAGAUUAUCGUACUCACCGCAUUGUAUUUAUCAUUUUUAAGCCUCAGACACUCGUACAUUCACAAAUAACGAUAGAAAAAUAAAGUUAAGGUUAAAACUGUUACUUAUCGAUGUUUUUAUUUUGCCAUAGUUAUCGGUCAGACACUACGAAAAUGCAAUGCGAUGAGUACGAUAAUUUGGCAAGGCUGCCCAUACGGUUCCCGGUGUGCUCCAAAGCCGUCCUCCUGGGUUCUUGCAGUAUAUAUCAAGGGAGUGUUUUGUCUCCACUUGCGCUCUUCUAAUCUUCUCUUAUAGACGGUUUUUAAGUGAGAAUACGUAUGUCUCACCUAUUUUUUUUCUUUUUUUUACAAUAAAGGAAGGGGAAAAAAAGCCAGCUAUGCGCUGCUCCUGCAAAGAAAAUAGAGCGAGAGGCCAAAUGGACACCUCACUGUAUAGAUGAGCCGAAAAGCAAGUCAAGGAAAAUUCUGGGUGUGCUGCUGGGCAAUACUUUGUUUUUGUUUCACCUUCCUCCAUGCAUUCUUGUUAUUGAAUGUACUGGGCGCACGUAUGUCACUCGCGAGAAGAAAUAUCAAUGCUCAUACAUCUCGAUAUGUAGCGAGGAAUUUAUUGGCACGCUGUAAGUGAGUGUUCCUCUGUAUCACCUUUCUCAGUCCUUCCUUUGUUGUACACCGUUGUAUAAAGGUGAAUAAAUCCCUCAAGAAAACUCUAUAAUGUAAUACGGGGGACUGGGCAACGUUCAUGUGGCUAAAUUUCAACCUUCUCGUCUACCUGGAGGUAAUCACUGGCUCUCGCUCCCCUCACAGAGAAUAAGUGAUCAGAUGAGUGAUGAAGCUGCUGCCAAACAGGCUUUCUUUUGGCGGUGAUAUUACGUGGCUUCCUUUGACGUGUGUUGGAAAUAUGAUUGUGUACGCAGCAGCCCUGGCCAGCCAUGCAUGAUUUACUAAUCGGAAGAAUAACUUUAAAAAAUACAGCGAUCGUGUAACAGAUGAAAAAGACUAAAUUUUGACAAAGAUUCAGUUAAAAAAAAAUCUUACAGUUACAAGGUUUGAAUAAAAGAUAAUAAAUUGACAAUGUUCGUGCAAGAAUGUUUAAAUGUACAAGGUUCGAGUAAAAACUGGAAAAAAAAUCAUGGUUCGAUUAGAAAUAAAAAAAAAAGGUUCAAGUAACCAAGAAAAUAAUUUGACAAGGUUCAGUAAAUCAGUGGCCUACUUUGAAUUUACAAGGUUCAGGAAGAAAAGUUAUUUGAAUUUACAAGAUUCAAAAAUUAAUUACCUGAAAUUUAGAGGUUGAGGACAAAAGAGUUGAAAAUAAUAAAGGUCAGGAAAAAAGGAGGUACAUUUACAAGGUCACGAGUAGAUAAAUUUACAAGGUCACGAAAAAGUGGAUAGAUUUACAAGGUCACGAAAAAGUGGAUAGAUUUACAAGGUCACAAAAAAGUGGAUAGAUUUACAAGGUCACAAAAAAGUGGAUAGAUUUACAAGAUCACAAAAAAGUGGAUAGAUUAACAAGAUCACAAAAAAGUGGAUAGAUUUACAAGGUCACGAAAAGUGGAUAGAUUUACAAGAUCACAAAAAAGUGGAUAGAUUUACAAGGUCACAAAAAAGUGGAUAGAUUUACAAGGUCACAAAAAAGUGGUUAGAUUUACAAGGUCACGAAAAAGUGGAUAGAUUUACAAGGUCACAAGGAGAUCAAUUUCAAAGUUCAGGAAAAAAGUAGAUACAUUUGCAAGGUCACAAGUAGAUAAACUUACGAGAUCACGAAAAUAAUAGAUGCAUUUGCAAGAUCACAAGGAGAUAAAUUUAAAAGGUCACGAAAAAGUAUAUAAAUCUGAAAUGAGUAUGAAAAUGGAAGCUGAAUAGACAACGUUCAUCCGCCAGUCAUUACCAAGAAAUUACAAAAAAAAAAAAAAGGAGAAAUUACACAGAUAAAGGAAUCUUGGCUUGUGGAUUUGGCGUUAGUUAAAAAAAAAAAAAAAUAGAGUAAACUAAAGAGAAAAAACUAAACAAACACCAGGCAAUAAUUUAAGGAAGUUUCUGUAAGUUCGUUAGUGGUUCAGGAGAUUGAGAAUUCCUAGCUAAUACGAAUCAUGGCUGGAGAAUUCUUCGUUGGAUUAAAAAACGAGAGCAGUGGUAUAGCUUGUUACUUAAGGCAAGGCUACGUUCAAGAAUUCACCACAACAAAACUAAUAAAUUCUUGGUGAGGUACGAGCACACCUCACGUCUCUUUCUAGUGCUCUCUGAUAUCUUUGUUUUCCCGUUCUCUAACCAUUCCUUCCUUCCCCCAGUUCGACAUAUAUUCAACAGACCCUUAAGUUUCAUCACUAUACUUUUUUCAUGCAUUUCCGCUUACAUGUAAUUCCCCAGUACUUUAUCUCAGUUUAAUUAUUGUUCGGAUCCUUCCCCCAUUCCGAGAUGUAUUCGUUUAACAUUCUCCCUCCUUCAAGUUUCAUCAAGUCACUUUUUUUCAUGCAUUUCCACUUACAUGUAACAGUUCAGUAUAGCAUCUCAUUUUGUAUUUAUUGUUGAGAUCUUUCAUCGUUUCCGAGAUAUCUUUGUAGAUGGACCCACUCCCUUUUGUUUCUCCUCAAGAUAAUUUACUUUUAUGAUAUCCCACCAGUUCAUUAUUCCUCAACAUUUCUUCGUCAACUCUACUCUAUUCAGGAGCAGUAAG